AGUGAAAUAUAAUGAACAUAAUCUCGACCGCAUUUGGCUUUUCUUAAUUCUAAGCAUUUACAUUCUCAACAUUUGAUUGAUUGAAAACCAGCCAAUAACUAUACGACAGCUCGCCGUGUUGUGUAUAAAUACUAAAGAAUGUUUUGGAAAAAAAACUUAGUGUGUAAGAAUACAUAUUUGGUAGAAAUGAAGCUGUUGAUGCUAAGUUUGUUAUUGUUGUCAGUGUGGAGUGCCGUAGAGGCCCAGGAUGUGCUGGUAUACGACAUUACUUCACAGCCCAUUUGCAGGCAAGUCACCCGAAAAGCAACCAAUCAAUGUCAAUGGGCCGCAGGACUAGAUAUGACAGAUCUGAAGCUAUUAAAGGGCCGAAUCGUUGCUUACAAGAUCCGUUGGUCUAGUGGAAAAUGGUCUGGCUGGUUUGUCCCGGGGCUAAAUGAUAUCGACGAGAAAUUCAACCCUACGUCAAAACCAUGUCCUAUGGCAUAUAUAGCGAAUAGUAUGAGACGAAGAUGGGCCAACUUCGUCGACCAUACACACAAGUAUAUCAUCUGCAAACCCAACUAAAUUACACAACAUGUUGUCAAUGAUGUAGUACGAGGACAACCCAUAUAUCGGGUCUGAAAAACAAAUAUUUCUUUAAACAUAAUAUAUAAUUGUCAAAAAAGUUACAAACUGUAGCCUAUCAGCAUAUUAGCAUUGUUGAUUUAUUUUAAUCUUAUUGUAUUGAACAAUUUUGGACAACAAGUUUGUAAUUUGCAUAUUCUUAAAAUGUCACUUUAUCAUAUAAAAUGUUAAUUGAUUUGAAGUAUUUUGACAAACCUAUUGGAGAAUAAAGUUCAGACUAUUACACCCUUUA